rnacentral:lncRNA from 1 species
CCCGAUGUCGCCGUAGUUGAAGCAGGCGCCGGCCGCUCGGCGCUUCUCAUGGCGCUGCUUGCUCCGCUGCUUGAUACCCUGCAGGAUGCGGCAGUCCUGCGCGUCGUGGGUAGAGUUGGCGUGUGUAACAUCCCAAAAAUUUCAAACUUUUACAUAUGCAUUGCAUCCAUAAGCAUCAUGCCACAAUUGCAUGUUUGAAUUUCAACUUGAACCUUAGGGUUUACACCCAUUUGAACUUUGGAUCUUCAAACCAAUAGAUUCUGUGUAUAAAUGGGGUUUAAUGGAUAUAUAAGCUAUCCCAUAAUUUUUGGAUAAUUAUUUGGAGUUGAAAAAGUAUUUUAUUUAAAUAGAUAUAUAGCCUAGAGGCAUUUAUAGGGCAAAUGUAUUUUUAUAUAUUUUAUUUUGAGGGGAAACUACUCCCAAAAGAUGUAUCAUGGUAGAACAUGAUUUUACAAAUUUUCUGGAAUUUAUUUGGACCAAUUUGGAGUUCAAAAUCAAAAGAUAUCAAAGGAAUAAGGAAAAACAGAAAAAGAAAAGGGUAAAAGAAAAAAAAGAAGGAGCAAACGGACCGGCCCGGCCUAAUUGGGCCGAACCGGCCCAACUCCCUCGCGCGCGCCGCAGCCCAGCCGGCCCAGCCGCUCACCCGCGCCGCGCCCGCACCCGCUGACAGGUGGGGCCCAC